rnacentral:rRNA from 1 species
UACGUAGGGUGCAAGCGUUGUCCGGAAUUAUUGGGCGUAAAGAGCUCGUAGGCGGUUUGUCGCGUCUGCUGUGAAAACGCGGGGCUCAACUCCGCGCCUGGAGUGGGUACGGGCAGACUAGAGUGCAGUAGGGGAGACUGGAAUUCCUGGUGUAGCGGUGGAAUGCGCAGAUAUCAGGAGGAACACCGGUGGCGAAGGCGGGUCUCUGGGCUGUAACUGACGCUGAGGAGCGAAAGCGUGGGUAGCGAACAGG